rnacentral:rRNA from 1 species
CAGUAGCCGCGGGAAUACGUAGGUCCCGAGCGUUGCCCGGAUUUAUUGGGCGUAAAGCGAGCGCAGGCGGUUAGAUAAGUCUGAUGUGAAAGCCCACGGCUCAACCGUGGAGGGUCAUUGGAAACUGUUAAACUUGAGUGCAGGAGAGAAAAGUGGAAUUCCUAGUGUAGCGGUGAAAUGCGUAGAGAUUAGGAGGAACACCAGUGGCGAAGGCGGCUUUUUGGCCUGUAACUGACACUGAGGCGCGAAAGCGUGGGGAGCAAACAGGAUUAGAUACCCGAGUAGUCCCUGUCUCUUAUAC